AAUGAGGCGAACCGGGGGAACUGAAACAUCUAAGUACCCCGAGGAAAAGAAAUCAACCGAGAUUCCCCCAGUAGCGGCGAGCGAACGGGGAGCAGCCCAGAGCCUGAAUCAGUGUGUGUGUUAGUGGAAGCGUCUGGAAAGGCGCGCGAUACAGGGUGACAGCCCCGUACACAAAAAUGCACAUGCUGUGAGCUCGAUGAGUAGGGCGGGACACGUGGUAUCCUGUCUGAAUAUGGGGGGACCAUCCUCCAAGGCUAAAUACUCCUGACUGACCGAUAGUGAACCAGUACCGUGAGGGAAAGGCGAAAAGAACCCCGGCGAGGGGAGUGAAAAAGAACCUGAAACCGUGU
rnacentral:rRNA from 1 species